rnacentral:snRNA from 1 species
GGGUGAGAGCCCCGUCGUGCC